rnacentral:misc_RNA from 1 species
UUACACAGUCCGGACCUCAUGCAUUGUGAUCCCGGUGUGUACGUUCCUUAUAUGCUUUUACUUGUCGCUCUCGUAGUUCAAACUUGGACAAUGCGUACGAAAUCACUACGGUGGAACGAAACUGCGUAGCUGACAACUUCGGACUGCCAUUGUCACUGGUGCUACUGAUCCCGUGACUUCACGAUGAUCAAGUUCCGCCUUCAACCCGAUGGCGUCCCCAUUGCAAUGAACAUUACUGAUCUGACUUACAAGGACUUUCCCGAAUACCAGACAGGGGUGAUUAUGUGGAAGUCGAUCUCUCCGCUGCUCAUUCUGAUUGGUACGUUCGGAAGCUUGCUGUCUGUCAUCGUGUUAUGCCGCAAGCGGAUGCGAACCUCGACGACGAUGUUUUACUUGGCUGUGUUGGCGGUCACUGACGUCUUCGUGUUGUAUACAGGGUUACUGCGUUACUGGCUAAAUUACACGUUUGACGAAGAUAUUCGCAUUUAUUCAGACUUUUCUUGCAAAUUCCAUAUAUUUCUUGUGUAUGUGUCUCUAGACUUCGCAGCUUGGAUACUGGUUGCGCUCACCGUUGAUAGGUGUCUCUUCGUAUUCGCACCUUUCAAAGCCCGGAAGUACUGUACCCUGCGGAGGGCGAGAAUUACCGCCGCCGCCAUGUUGGGUUUCUUGAUGGUGAUCAACGUUCACUUCGCCUGGUCGUAUGGUCUCAGUCCUCGUACGAUAUUCGGGGAAGGGGUAGAUUGUUAUGCUGCUAACGACGACAUGAAACAAUUUGUUACUGUCAUCUGGCCUUGGAUUGAUCUGUUCAUCGUAUGUUUCGUCCCGUUCACCAUCAUGAUCAUCUGCAACGUCAUCAUUAUCAGGAAGCUCGCCAUCUCUGCCAGCAAGAUUCGUCGGCACACCGUUUCCGAGCGUGAGAGGUUCCAAUAUGAACUAAAAUCGACCAAUCAGAACGUACACCACAUCAGUACUCCGCCUGGCCAAUCAAAACAUCCGAAGAUCAGCGUCAUAAGCACGCAGUCAAACAACAACAACAACAACAACAACAACAAUACAAAAGCCAGAUCAGCUUGUCCGAAAUCGUCCCACCUCACGGUGAUGUUAUUAUCAGUCAACUGCCUGUUCUUGCUGCUGACGUCACCAAUUGUUGUGUACAUGAUCGGGUUCGGAACAUGGCGCGAGGACCCUGAUCCUCAAACCGAGGCUCGGCUCCAUCUGGGCUGGUGUCUGGUGAAUCUGUUGCAGUACACGAACAAUGCCGCUCAUUUCUUUCUCUACUGUCUCACGGGACCACGAUUCAGGAGGGAGUUACUCCGAAUGAUGUCCCCGAAAAACAAAGUUAAUGCUGAACCAAGCGUCACACUCGAUCCGUAUCACUGAAAGAAGUCACCGUCGACAUUAAGUCCGAUCACUAUCUGAUCUGGCCACCAUACAUGAGUUAUAUCAGAUUUACAUCAGAUUUACAUCAGAUAUACAUCAGAUUUACAUCAGAUUUACAUCAGAUAUACAUCAGAUUUACAUCAGGUUUACAUCAGGUUAACAUCAGAUUUACAUUCUAUUUGGAGACGGUACAGAAGUUUGGAACUUUUUUCAAUAUGUGAAAACAAAAGUAAACGGGAUACAUUGCGUUCACGUCUAGAGCAGUGAAUAAGGUGCCACAGUUCUGAGUUUAGAGUUACUUCCCUUAGUAAUGCCAGUAUCCGCUAUUCGAGGGUUCGAAAUCCAGAUUCUCCUCGACGAUGAUCAGUAUGCUUUCCCGUGACAGUAUCACUGUACUGAUACGGGUCGCUGCUCUAACUAUCAAUCACGGAUUCUGUGAUCCAGACUCGAUUACUCCAGGUCGAUUGUACUGGAUGUGAUAAGGAUACGUAUAUUUGAGGAGGCACGGGUGGCCCUGUCGUCUUAGGCGCCACGGUUCGCUGUGUGGAUUUGCGUCCCUUGGGCACGCCAGAAACCUAUGAUUGAUGGUUCGAAUCCCGGUUCGCCCCGAUUAUGUAUCU